CACGUAGGGGCCAAGCGUUGUCCGGAUUUAUUGGGCGUAAAGAGCUCGUAGGCGGUCUGUCGCGUCGAAUGUGAAAACCCGGGGCUCAACCCCGGGCCUGCAUUCGAUACGGGCAGACUAGAGUUCGGUAGGGGAGUCUGGAAUUCCUGGUGUAGCGGUGAAAUGCGCAGAUAUCAGGAGGAACACCGGUGGCGAAGGCGGGACUCUGGGCCGAUACUGACGCUGAGGAGCGAAAGCGUGGGGAGCGAACAGG
rnacentral:rRNA from 1 species